UAAUACAAUAGAUAUGGAAUUCAAUCCAAAACCUACAACCCAGCAUUUUUGCAUAAACUAAUUGGCCACAUGUAUUUUUGUUGCAGCAACGGCGCAGCGGGUCUUCUUUAACCUAUCCCCGGCUACAUGACCCUGGCCUACAGGAUUUGACAUCAAUACAUUCUCCUUUUUCCCUCAUUUUUCAAGCAAGUUCUCCCCACUGAAGAUGGCGGUGUUCCUAUAGCUUCAUGUCGGCUCUCAUCUAUUGCGUCACAGAAAGAGG
rnacentral:lncRNA from 1 species